rnacentral:rRNA from 1 species
GUUGAACGCUGGCGGCAGGCCUAACACAUGCAAGUCGAGCGGAUGAACGGAGCUUGCUCCUGGAUUCAGCGGCGGACGGGUGAGUAAUGCCUAGGAAUCUGCCUGAUCGUGGAGGCUAACGUCCGGACACGGGCGCUAAUACCGCAUACGACCUGAUGGUGAAAGUGGGGGAUCUUCAGACCAAAAGCUAUCAGAUGAGCCUAGGUCGGAUUAGCUAGUUGGUGAGGUAAGGGCCUACCAAGGCGACGAUCCGUAGCUGAUCUGAGAGGAUGAUCAGUCACACUGGAACUGAGACACGGUCCAGACUCCUACGGGAGGCAGCAGUAGGGAAUCUUGGACAAUGGGCGAAAGCCUGAUGCAGCCAUGCCGCGUGUGUGAUGAAGGUCUUCGGAUUGUAAAGCACUUUAAGUUGGGAGGAAGGGCAGUAAGUUAAUACCUUGCUGUUUUGACGGUACCAACAGAAUAAGCACCGGCUAACUUCGUG